rnacentral:misc_RNA from 1 species
AUCAAACUUUUGUAGAUACCAUUAUAAAUUUUCUUCGCUUUUGGUUACCUAAUUAAGAUCUGUGAUGGCAGUGAAGUCUUUUAAUGUCUUGCCCAUUUUUAGGCAUUACUGGGAACAUCUGAUGUCUCAGAAGAAAUUUAGCAAGCAGCUACAACGUUUGGAAGAUGACGCAAAAUGCAUUCGCCAGACUUUAAUCUUGCUAGAAUCUAAACUAGAUCCUAUUAACUUUCAUCUCGAAGAAAAUUCCACACCAGACUCCCUGGAAUCUGCCAAGCAAAGUUAUUCAAAAGACAAUCAAAUUAACUUGAUCAAUACUACCAGUGAUACCUUGAACUUAUACCCACAAAUUACAGUCUCAUGUAGUCACUCUGCUAGUUUGCCAAAAGCAACUAGGAGUCAUCCAUAUGAAUUUAUGCCAACACGUCGUAGACCACUUAGAGACCCAUCAAAGGCUUCUAUCAACAAGGAAUGGCAAGUAGUUUGUACUUCCACAACAUAAUGCUGGAAUAGGUGUUAUUUCCAGUAUUACUAUGGACCCUUGGAUAUUUUGUUUUAGAAAGAAAGAAGAAACAAGUCAGAAGAAGUUAAAAAAAGAGAGACAACAAUGUAAAUGUAACUCGUUUUUUUCUCCCUUCCAGUCUACUUUGCCAGAUUAUCAUCAUUUAAGCUCUGGCAAUGUAAGACAUAAUUUUGAAUUCCUUGAUAGUAAAUGGCGCAACAAAACAGGGAUGCUGACUCGAAGUGCUGCGAGAGACAUUUAUAAGACAGCUGACAAAGUUGGUGAUCUUAAAUGGCCAUGCAAAAAUAUGUACCAAACUUCUAGGGAUAUAGAGCCAUGCUAAUAAGACAUUCAUCAGGUAAAGUGUCAGUUGAAAGCAUAAAGCAAAGAUCUUCACCAAGCCUUCGUACUUCCGUUAAAAAUCUGUUGGUGCCACCACAUCGAGAAUGUCAGGCUGUUAUCAACUAGUCCAACGUUUUAUAUAUAUAUAUAUAUAUAUAUAUAUAUAUAUGGAAAAUAUUAUAUAAAUAUUUUCAGUGCCUUGUGGAAAUCAGUAUUGUACACUGAAACUUCCUUUUAAGUAUUUCGAAGCUGUUUGCUCAACAUCAUUUCCAGCUAUUUUUUCUGAUUCUCUUUUUCAUUUCAUUUCAUUUUUUUUUUAUGUCAAAUAAAGAAGAGAAGCUAAUUUUUAGAAGUAAUACUGUAUAUUUUUAAAAUUUCCAAAUUAAAACUGAAUUUAAAACAAACAAAAUUAAAUUAUUGAAUAUUGAUAAAGUCUUAUUUUAUUGCCACAAAAAUUUAGUUGAAGACGUCAUAAUAUUCAAAACUUCAUUAUCAAAAUAUAGAAUAUUUAUUGCAAUAAGUAUGUUUUUAUUUAUCUGUAAAAAUGAAAACACAAAACAAAAUCUUGGUUUAAAUUUCUGCAUUACAGAGCCAAUUAUCCAUAGCAUCUGUUUUGCUAAAAUAUUUAGCCUAUUGGUCUUUGUUAAAUUUAUAAGCUAUAGACAGUGAUAUGGCCAUCUUAUUGCUAUAAAAUGAAGAACUUAUGUAUUUAGAGAUUUGUUCAUAUUUUUGAUAAUAAAUAUUUUUUCAUGUGUCAUUUCUCAUGAGCUUCUAUAAAAUUCCUAUUGUACAUGCCUCUCCAUAUUUACUUAAAAAUAUAUUUGUUAGUAGAUUAUACAGAAAACAAUUUUGUUUUGAA